UUUCUCUGCUCUUUUCCCGUUUAUUC
rnacentral:misc_RNA from 1 species